GCCUAGCAUGGUGGCACAUGCCUGUAAUCCCAAUCACUUGGGAGGUUGAGACAGGAGGAUUGCAAGUUUGAGGCCAACCUCAACAACUUGGAGAGAACCUGUCUCAA
rnacentral:sRNA from 1 species